AUGCUGUCAGAGGCCAAAGCCCGGGAGGAGGCCCUGGCCAAGGAUCUGGAGGCCGAGAAGCUGCAGCGGAAGAACGAAGCCGCCAACCACAAGGAUUUUGUGGAUGGGGAGAAUCGCUGGAUCGGCCGCCUCGAAGACGUCGCCGGCAGGAUCACCACGCAGCUGGCCACCAUGGGGAUGCCAAAUGUGAGGUACGCUCCAGAUCGCAGCACGACUCCCAACGCCAGGCUGACCCUGUUCUUCGAGGGUGUUCUUGGAGCCCUGGAGCAUUUCCGCUCCACCAGGGCGACUUUCUUGGCCAAUGAGGCCCGGAGGCUUUGCCGAGGUGCCAUGACCAAGGUUCUCACCAAGGUGGCAUACGGGAAUCCCAACCUCGACUUCGACGCUGCGCUGGAGAGCUUGCCGGAGGGGGUGGACCUCGCGCCGCUCAGUGAGCGUAUCGAGGCCGUCAUCAGCGGCAUCGAUGGAAUCUAG
rnacentral:rRNA from 1 species